rnacentral:rRNA from 1 species
UACGUAGGGUGCAAGCGUUAAUCGGAAUUACUGGGCGUAAAGCGUGCGCAGGCGGCUUUGCAAGACAGAUGUGAAAUCCCCGGGCUUAACCUGGGAACUGCAUUUAUGACUGCAUGGCUGGAGUGCGGCAGAGGGGGAUGGAAUUCCGCGUGUAGCAGUGAAAUGCGUAGAUAUGCGGAGGAACACCGAUGGCGAAGGCAAUCCCCUGGGCCUGCACUGACGCUCAUGCACGAAAGCGUGGGGAGCAAACAGG